CCUACGGGGGGCUGCAGUGGGGAAUAUUGGACAAUGGGGGAAACCCUGAUCCAGCAAUGCCGCGUGUGUGAAGAAGGCCUGCGGGUUGUAAAGCACUUUCGGUUGGGAAGAAAAGUUUGGCGCCAAUACCGCCGAACCUUGACGUUACUGACAGAAGAAGCACCGGCUAACUCUGUGCCAGCAGCCGCGGUAAUACAGCGGAUGCAAGCGUCAAUCGGCAUCCGUAGGCGGUCAGCCAAGGCAGGUGGGAAAUCCCCGGGCUUAACCUGGGAACUGCAUUCGAUACUACAUGGCUAGAGUAUGGUAGAGGGAAGUGGAAUUUCCGGUGUAGCGGUGAAAUGCGUAGAUAUCGGAAGGAACACCAAUGGCGAAGGCAGCUUCCUGGACUAAUACUGACACUGAGGCACGAAAGCGUGGGUAGCAAACAGGAUUAGAUACCCCAGUAGUC
rnacentral:rRNA from 1 species